UACGGGGGGGGCAAGCGUUGUUCGGAAUUACUGGGCGUAAAGGGCUCGUAGGUGGCCAACUAAGUCAGACGUGAAAUCCCUCAGCUUAACUGGGGAACUGCGUCUGAUACUGGAUGGCUUGAGAUUGGGAGAGGGAUGCGGAAUUCCAGGUGUAGCGGUGAAAUGCGUAGAUAUCGGGAGGAACACCAGUGGCGAAGGCGAUCACCUGGGGUUGUUCUGACGCUGAGGAGCGAAAGCUAGGGGAGCAAACGGG
rnacentral:rRNA from 1 species